AUGGCCGGCUGGACCUCCAUCCCGGCGGAGCUACUCGCGGAAAUCUCCGGCCGCCUGCCAGGCGACGCGGACCGGAUCCACAUCCAUCAGGUAUGCUCCCACUGGCGCGCAUCCACUUCCCGGCUGGCCGCCUGCCGUCCAUGGAUCAUCGCCGGCCGCGAACCAUGGAGCCUGGUUGGCCCGGUCGGCGAACACUCGUUUUGGCUACCGCUUGGCGGCCGACGGAUCUACUUGGGCACGCCCACGCCGGCGGGCCUACCAUAUUGCUGCGGCACGCCCCUUGGCUGGCUUGCUCUCAUGGACAACCUGCAAUCCCCAACGCGGUUUGUCCUCUGGGAGCCCCUCUCUGAAGCUGAGAUCUUUCUGCCCUGUUUGCCCGCCGUUGUCCAAGUCUUCCUCUCAGGAGACCCGCUCACCUCGCCUGACUGGAUGGCGAUCGCAAGCCAGAAGCUCUACAGCACUGGCACUUGCAUGGGCCAGACGCUCUUCUUCUGGCGGCCUGGAGAUGCCGCAUGGACUAUGCAGCUCGAGCGGCCAAACGGCAGAAUCGAUAGCGCAGCAUUCCAUCAGGGGAAAUUCUACUUCACCGACAUCGGGUGGACCCUUCACGUCUAUGAUCUUGACCGCUCCCCUCCCAAGCUUGUCCGGAGCACGUACCUUUACAGUGCUCUGCGAGAGCGCCAUGGAUUUCGACAGUUCCCUGGCGGUGGCAGGCCGACGUGGUAUGUGGUCGCAUUCAAUGGCGAGUUGCUGCUUGUUGUGAUGUACCGUGCGCCCAACAUAAAGGCUGUCGAAGUUUACCGCCCGGAUUGGGCAGCGGAGCGCCUGGAGCUGCGGGACAAGGUCACGGAUCUCGGCGAGUACUCGCUCUUCUUGGGCCGCGGUGACGCGUUUGCCCUCUGUGCAAAGGACUUCACUAUGAUCAGGAGAAAUUGUCUCUACUUUGUAGAGCACGAUACAGUCAAGCAUCAAGAUUGGGCUAUUGUGUUAGACUUGGGGUCAAAUGUUUUUCAACAAAUUCCAUAUCCCGGAGAGCAGAUGGAGGGCACGGGCAGAAAUAAUCACUGGACGGCGUAUUCGUGGUUCUGUCUCAGAAGACCCUUCUUGAAGGGUGAAGCCCAGUAA
rnacentral:rRNA from 1 species